rnacentral:rRNA from 1 species
AUCUACGGCCAUACCACAUUGAGAGCACCCGAUCUCGUUCGAUCUCGGAAGUUAAGCAAUGUAGGGAUCAGUUAGUACUUGGAUGGGUGACCGCCUGGGAAUACUGGUUGCUGUAGAAA